rnacentral:rRNA from 1 species
UACAGAGGUCCCAAGCGUUGUUCGGAUUCAUUGGGCGUAAAGGGCGCGUAGGUGGUUCGGUAAGUCGGAUGUGAAAUCUCCAAGCUUAACUUGGAAAUGGCAUCGGAAACUACCGGGCUAGAGUCUAGGAGGGGGGAGUGGAAUUCUUGGUGUAGCAGUGAAAUGCGUAGAUAUCAAGAGGAACACCGGUGGCGAAGGCGACUCCCUGGACUAGUACUGACACUGAGGCGCGAAAGCUAGGGGAGCAAACGGG